rnacentral:rRNA from 1 species
GACGUAGGAUGCAAGCGUUGUCCGGAAUUAUUGGGCGUAAAGAGUUCGUAGGCGGUUACUUAAGUCUGGUGUUAAAGACUGGAGCUCAACUCCAGCAUGGCAUUGGAUACUGGGUGGCUAGAGUGCGGUAGAGGUCUCGGGAAUUCCAGGUGUAGCGGUGAAAUGCGUAGAUAUCUGGAGGAACACCGGUGGCGAAAGCGCGAGGCUGGGCCGUAACUGACGCUGAGGAACGAAAGCCAGGGUAGCAAAAGGG